GUGUAUUUAUACUACCACAGUACCCUCUGAUAUGUGUAUUUAUACUACCACAGUACCCUCUAUGUGUAUGUAUACUACCACAGUACCCUCUGAUGUGUAUUUAUACUACCACAGUACCCUCUAUUGUGUGUAUUUAUACUACCACAGUACCCUCUGAUAUGUGUAUUCAUACUACCACAGUACCCUCUGAUAUGUGUGUUUAUACUACCACAGUGCACAACCCUCUUAUGUGUGUUUAUACUACCACAGUACCCUCUGAUAUGUGUAUUUUUACUACCACAGUACCCACCCCUCUGAUAUGUGUAUUUAUACUACCACAGUACCCAACCCUCUGAUAUGUGUAUUUAUACUACCACAGUACCCUCUGAUAUGUGUAUUCAUACUACCACAGUACCCUCUGAUAUGUGUGUUUAUACUACCACAGUGCACAACCCUCUUAUAUGUGUGUUUAUACUACCACAGUACCCUCUGAAAUGUGUAUUUAUACUACCACAGUACCCUCUGAUGUGUAUUUAUACUACCACAGUACCCUCUGAUAUGUGUAUUUAUACUACCACAGUACCCUCUGAUAUGUGUAUUUAUACUACCACAGUACCCUCUGAUAUGUGUAUUUAUACUACCACGGUACCCAACCCUCUGAUAUGUGUAUUUAUACUACCACAGUAGCCUCUGAUAUGUGUAUUUAUACUACCACAGUACCCACCCCUCUGAUAUGUGUAUUUAUACUACCACAGUACCCACCCCUCUGAUAUGUGUAUUUAUACUACCACAGUACGUUCUGAUAUGUGUAUUUAUACUACCACAGUACCCAACCAGGAGCCUCCUACAGAGCUCACAGUUCAUCACUGUCCUUUCCCUGGUGGGGAGAAGACCAGAAGAGGGUGAUGUCCUUCCUGUCUCCAAGUUCUGCCUCAAAAUGUGCUGGGGUUCGAUCCAGAGUGCAAAGAGUUCUUCCUGGAGGGGACAACUCCAAUUCUCCCAGGUAUUUUGGUUGGUGGGAAAGUCCAGGACCAGAACCGUUACAAGCCGAUCUGCCAGUUGUUUAAAUACAUGAAGAACAAGGUUGUUUACAACACCUACAUGUUUGCAACUCUCUACGACACGACCAACAUGAUCCCUGUGUUCUCAGCCUACACCUUCACUGGGGUCGGACCGAGAGAGAAAAGACCAGACACAUGGAUGAUUGAACCUCAGGUAAUUUAAACAUCUUUUCAAAUCGACAUUUCAUGCCAAGGUUGAACAAUAACUUUCAAUAGACAAUUACUACUGUCUGUCUAGCAAGAUACCAUGUCUGUUUCAUUCCUUAAAGGGAUAGUUUCUAAAAUAAAAAACAGAAACACCUUAUUUACAUGAGUAUUCAGACCCUGGUUUUGCUUUGUCAUUAUGGGGUGUGUGUAGAUUGUGUGUAGAUUGAUGAGGGAAAAGUAUAAUUUAAUCAAUUUUAGAAUUAGAGGUCAGGUCUAAUAUACAGGUCUUGUCUAAUAUUCAGGUUAGGUCUAAUAUACAGGUCUACUAUACAGGUCUACUAUACAGGUCUACUAUACAGGUCUACUAUACAGGUCUACUAUACAGGUCUAAUAUACAGGUCUAAUAUACAGGUCAGGUCUAAUAUACAGGUCUACUAUACAGGUCUAAUAUACAGGUCAGGUCUAAUAUACAGGUCUACUAUACAGGUCUAAUAUACAGGUCAGGUCUACUAUACAGGUCUACUAUACAGGUCUACUAUACAGGUCUACUAUACAGGUCUACUAUACAGGUCUACUAUACAGGUCUAAUAUACAGGUCUAAUAUACAGGUCAGGUCUAAUAUACAGGUCUACUAUACAGGUCUAAUAUACAGGUCAGGUCUAAUAUACAGGUCUACUAUACAGGUCUAAUAUACAGGUCAGGUCUAAUAUACAGGUCUACUAUACAGGUCUAAUAUACAGGUCAGGUCUAAUAUACAGGUCUAAUAUACAGGUCUAAUAUACAGGUCUAAUAUACAGGUCUGAUAUACAGGUCAGGUCUAAUAUACAGGUCUACUAUAAAGGUCUACUAUACUGGUCUAAUAUACAGGUCUGAUAUACAGGUCAGGUCUAAUAUACAGGUCUGAUAUACAGGUCUAAUAUACAGGUCUGAUAUACAGGUCUAAUAUACAGGUCUAAUAUACAGGUCUAAUAUACAGGUCUAAUAUACAGGUCAGGUCUAAUAUACAGGUCUAAUAUACAGGUCUAAUAUACAGGUCUAAUAUACAGGUCAGGUCUAAUAUACAGGUCUAAUAUACAGGUCUAAUAUACAGGUCUAUCAUACAGGUCAGGUCUAAUAUACAGGUCUAAUAUACAGGUCUAAUAUACAGGUCUAAUAUACAGGUCUAAUAUACAGGUCUAAUAUACAGGUCUAAUAUACAGGUCUAAUAUACAGGUCAGGUCUAAUAUACAGGUCAGGUCUAAUAUACAGGUCAGGUCUAAUAUACAGGUCUAUUAU
rnacentral:lncRNA from 1 species